rnacentral:pre_miRNA from 1 species
UUGAAGAUCAUUUUUCAGUUUUUUAAUACAAUAUUUUGAUUAUUUGUUUUAUUUAAAAUUUUUUUAUGAUUAAUUUUUUCUUACUAGAUGAUAAAGCAUGAACAGUACUUUAUGUAUGACUAAUUUUUUUAAUAUUUUUUAUAAAUUUUUUAAAUAAGACGAAUGGUCAAACAUUGGACUACGAAAAAAC